ensembl:lncRNA
CUCUAAUCAGGGACUGAUUUAGACCUGGGACACCAGGUGGGUGAUUCCCCUCUAAUCAGGGACUGAUUUAGACCUGGGACACCAGGUGGGUGAUUCCCCUCUAAUCAGGGACUGAUUUAGACCUGGGACACCAGGUGGGUGAUUCCCUCUAAUCAGGGACUGAUUUAGACCUGGGACACCAGGUGGGUGAUUCCCCUCUAAUCAGGGACUGAUUUAGACCUGGGACACCAGGUGGGUGAUUCCCUCUAAUCAGGGACUGAUUUAGACCUGGGACACCAGGUGGGUGAUUCCCCUCUAAUCAGGGACUGAUUUAGACCUGGGACACCAGGUGG